ACCUGCCUCUACAGCUUCUUGAAACCAGCCAUCCUGGAGCUUGGCACCAAGCUGCUUAUUUCAGAGGGAAGAGCUGAGCGAACUGAAGCCAUGAUUACUGAACAUUUGGGUCUGGACUGCAUAGAUUCUGUUUGACUGAAAAUACUGCCAGACAAGGUCAUCUUUCCAAGACUGAUGAGACAACUCUGAACAUGAUCAAAGUGCUAUGAGAUGUGAUCAUUAAAAUGACUAUAAAAUUAUAGGUAAGUUGAGACUUGAAUAUUCUCUUGCUUGUUUAGCUUCUAAAUGUGGCAA